UGGCUCAGGAUGAACGCUAGCUACAGGCUUAACACAUGCAAGUCGAGGGGCAUCAGGAAGAAAGCUUGCUUUCUUUGCUGGCGACCGGCGCACGGGUGAGUAACACGUAUCCAACCUGCCCUUUACUCGGGGAUAGCCUUUCGAAAGAAAGAUUAAUACCCGAUAGCAUAAUGAUUCCGCAUGGUUUCAUUAUUAAAGGAUUCCGGUAAAGGAUGGGGAUGCGUUCCAUUAGGUUGUUGGUGAGGUAACGGCCCACCAAGCCUUCGAUGGAUAGGGGUUCUGAGAGGAAGGUCCCCCACAUUGGAACUGAGACACGGUCCAAACUCCUACGGGAGGCAGCAGUGAGGAAUAUUGGUCAAUGGGCGCUAGCCUGAACCAGCCAAGUAGCGUGAAGGAUGAAGGCUCUAUGGGUCGUAAACUUCUUUUAUAUAAGAAUAAGGUGCAGUAUGUAUACUGUUUUGUAUGUAUUAUAUGAAUAAGGAUCGGCUAACUCCGUGCCAGCAGCCGCGGUAAUACGGAGGAUCCGAGCGUUAUCCGGAUUUAUUGGGUUUAAAGGGAGCGUAGGUGGACUGGUAAGUCAGUUGUGAAAGUUUGCGGCUCAACCGUAAAAUUGCAGUUGAUACUGUCAGUCUUGAGUACAGUAGAGGUGGGCGGAAUUCGUGGUGUAGCGGUGAAAUGCUUAGAUAUCACGAAGAACUCCGAUUGCGAAGGCAGCUCACUGGACUGCAACUGACACUGAUGCUCGAAAGUGUGGGUAUCAAACAGGAUUAGAUACCCUGGUAGUCCACACAGUAAACGAUGAAUACUCGCUGUUUGCGAUAUACAGUAAGCGGCCAAGCGAAAGCAUUAAGUAUUCCACCUGGGGAGUACGCCGGCAACGGUGAAACUCAAAGGAAUUGACGGGGGCCCGCACAAGCGGAGGAACAUGUGGUUUAAUUCGAUGAUACGCGAGGAACCUUACCCGGGCUUAAAUUGCAGUGGAAUGAUGUGGAAACAUGUCAGUGAGCAAUCACCGCUGUGAAGGUGCUGCAUGGUUGUCGUCAGCUCGUGCCGUGAGGUGUCGGCUUAAGUGCCAUAACGAGCGCAACCCUUAUCUUUAGUUACUAACAGGUUAUGCUGAGGACUCUAGAGAGACUGCCGUCGUAAGAUGUGAGGAAGGUGGGGAUGACGUCAAAUCAGCACGGCCCUUACGUCCGGGGCUACACACGUGUUACAAUGGGGGGUACAGAAGGCAGCUAGCGGGUGACCGUAUGCUAAUCCCAAAAUCCUCUCUCAGUUCGGAUCGAAGUCUGCAACCCGACUUCGUGAAGCUGGAUUCGCUAGUAAUCGCGCAUCAGCCACGGCGCGGUGAAUACGUUCCCGGGCCUUGUACACACCGCCCGUCAAGCCAUGGGAGCCGGGGGUACCUGAAGUACGUAACCGCAAGGAUCGUCCUAGGGUAAAAC
rnacentral:rRNA from 1 species